AAGAUAGCAUAAGAAGUCGUAAGGUCGAGAAACUAUUAAAUAUUGGUGUUGUGUAUCAAGUUGAGAUGAUACUGUAUCAUGUGUGGUGAUACUGUAUCAUUUAUGGUGAUACUAUAGAGAAAAGAUGGUAUAAGAAGUCGUAAGGUGGAGGGACUGGAGUAUCCUCAACUGGAGUCGUACGAUUUGAGUCGAGGUAGUGUGAGUUGAGCCUUAAUAUUCUAGUUAUCUUGUGUCAUGUCUUACUAAUAUGUAAACCUGAUUUAAAUUAAUAGAUACCAUGUUCAACAUG